UACGUAGGUGGCAAGCGUUGUCCGGAUUUACUGGGUGUAAAGGGCGUGUAGCCGGGUUGACAAGUCAGAUGUGAAAUCCUGCGGCUUAACCGCAGAACUGCAUUUGAAACUGUUGAUCUUGAGUACUGGAGAGGCAGACGGAAUUCCUAGUGUAGCGGUGAAAUGCGUAGAUAUUAGGAGGAACACCAGUGGCGAAGGCGGUCCGCUGGACAGCAACUGACGGUGAGGCGCGAAAGCGUGGGGAGCAAACAGG
rnacentral:rRNA from 1 species